UCCCUGAUGGCUCAGACAGUGAAAGCAUCUGCCUACAACGCGGGAGACCCAGGUUCGAUCCCUGGGUCGAGAA
rfam:TPA: Bos taurus chromosome 8, whole genome shotgun sequence.